rnacentral:rRNA from 1 species
UACGAAGGACCCGAGCGUUAUCCGGAUUUAUUGGGUUUAAAGGGUGCGUAGGCGGAUUUACAAGUCAGUGGUGAAAUCUCCCAGCUUAACUGGGAAACUGCCAUUGAAACUGUUUAUCUUGAGUACAUUUGAGGCGGGCGGAAUGUGUCAUGUAGAGGUGAAAUUCGUAGAUAUUCGGAAGAACACCAGUGGCGAAGGCGGCUCACUGGACCGGUAUUGACGCUGAGGUGCGAAAGCGUGGGGAGCAAACAGG